UGUUCCUGGAGAUCUACUGUCCUGUAGGUUCAGUCCAACCCUGUUCCUGGAGAUCUACUGUCCUGUAGGUUCAGUCCAACCCUGUUCCUGGAGAUCUACUGUCCUGUAGGUUCAGUCCAACCCUGUUCCUGGAGAUCUACUGUCCUGUAGGUUCAGUCCAACCCUGUUCCUGGAGAUCUACUGUCCUGUAGGUUCAGUCCAACCCUGUUCCUGGAGAUCUACUGUCCUGUAGGUUCAGUCCAACCCUGUUCCUGGAGAUCUACUGUCCUGUAGGUUCAGUCCAACCCUGUUCCUGGAGAUCUACUGUCCUGUAGGUUCAGUCCAACCCUGUUCCUGGAGAUCUACUGUCCUGUAGGUUCAGUCCAACCCUGUUCCUGGAGAUCUACUGUCCUGUAGGUUCAGUCCAACCCUGUUCCUGGCGAUCUACUGUCCUGUAGGUUCAGUCCAACCCUGUUCCUGGAGAUCUACCGUCCUGUAGGUUCAGUCCAACCCUCUUCCUGGAGAUCUACCGUCCUGACCCAGUUUCAAUGUACAGUCAAGUGUCUCACUAGAGGGAGACUUUACUGACCGUGCAGCUUACCAGGAGAGAGAGCCUGUCCUUAGUCUGACAAUAGAAAGCACCAGGAACUAAACCCUUUAUGCCUGGGGGCUGCUGCUGCUGCUAAGGGAAAUGCUGACAUCUCUUAAUCCUACUUUUUCUCUCUUCUCUCCCUUCCUCCCCUU